rnacentral:rRNA from 1 species
CUUUGAUUAUGGCUCAGGAUGAACGCUGGCGGCGUGCCUAACACAUGCAAGCCGAACGGACUUACAUUGAAGCCUAGCGAUAUGUAAGUUAGUGGCGGACGGGUGAGUAACGCGUGGGUAACCUGCCUUGUACUGGGGGACAACAGUUGGAAACGACUGCUAAUACCGCAUAAGCGCACAGCUUCGCAUGAAGCAGUGUGAAAAACUCCGGUGGUACAAGAUGGACCCGCGUCUGAUUAGCUGGUUGGUGAGGUAACGGCCCACCAAGGCGACGAUCAGUAGCCGGCCUGAGAGGGUGAACGGCCACAUUGGGACUGAGACACGGCCCAAACUCCUACGGGAGGCAGCAGUGGGGAAUAUUGCACAAUGGGGGAAACCCUGAUGCAGCAACGCCGCGUGAGUGAAGAAGUAUUUCGGUAUGUAAAGCUCUAUCAGCAGGAAAGAAAAUGACGGUACCUGACUAAGAAGCCCCGGCUAACUACGUGCCAGCAGCCGCGGUAAUACGUAGGGGGCAAGCGUUAUCCGGAUUUACUGGGUGUAAAGGGAGCGUAGACGGUUUUGCAAGUCUGAAGUGAAAGCCCGGGGCUUAACCCCGGGACUGCUUUGGAAACUGUAGAACUAGAGUGCAGGAGAGGUAAGUGGAAUUCCUAGUGUAGCGGUGAAAUGCGUAGAUAUUAGGAGGAACACCAGUGGCGAAGGCGGCUUACUGGACUGUAACUGACGUUGAGGCUCGAAAGCGUGGGGAGCAAACAGGAUUAGAUACCCUGGUAGUCCACGCCGUAAACGAUGAUUACUAGGUGUUGGUGGGUAUGACCCAUCGGUGCCGCAGCAAACGCAAUAAGUAAUCCACCUGGGGAGUACGUUCGCAA